CAAUUUUGACUCCUUCAACCCUCUGUACCUGAUGGGCUGAGUCCAACUCCCCUCUCUCCGUGCCCCACAAAUUACAGGAAGUCCUAGAGGCUGAGCCACAUCGCCAGAUGCUCCUUCCUGGACGCUCACCUGACUCAUCCAAACAAAGAUCCAGGACUGGGAUGGGGGCAACAGAACAGCAGCUUCCUUGAGAAUAUUUCACAACUAAAUCACUGACGCAUGCAACCUUAUAUUCAAACAACUUUGCAGCUGAGCGCUCUGUGGAGAGAGAAGAGAAUUCCUGUGGCAUCCCCUUUGAAGUCAGUCUGAUUAAAAGAUUUUGCUCACUGAAACCAGCAUGAUCUGGAAAAGAGAGAUCCAGGAAAAGCACAAGGGUCCAAGUCAAGAGAGAAAAGAAGAGUCAGAGGCCUGUAAGGAGCCCAACAGAAUGGUGGAGAAGCCCAAGAGGCAGGUAAGAAGUGAGAUGAAACGCGGGGGCUGGGUCGGGGGGAGAAGGAGA
rnacentral:lncRNA from 1 species